UAAAAGUUUUAUUUUGACUUAAAUAAUUAAGAUAUUUACUUUUUAUAUGUAAAUUUAUGUGAAUAAUAAAAAAAUUUAAAAAAUAAAUUAUUUUCAGUAUGUAAAUUUAAAAAUUUACGAAAGUAAUAUUUAGAGAUAAAUGAUAGUUUUAACAAAUUUUGUGCCAGCAGUAGCGGUUAUUCGAAAAAUGCAAUUAUUUAUUUUUAAUUUGUAGUUUAUUGAUCAAUAAUUUUUAUUUAUAUGUAUAUUUAUUAAGUGAAAUUUUUAUUUUAUAUAUUAUUAUUAAUUAAGAGUUUGAAGCUAUGAAAUUUUAGUAUUAAACUAGGAUUAGAUACCCUAUUAUUUAAAUAUAUUAAAAGUUAAUUAAGUUAGUAAUAGAUAAGAACUUGAAAGCUUAAGAAUUUGGCGGUAUUAUAGUCUUUUCAGAGGAACCUGUCCUAUAAACGAUAAUCCACGAUAAAAUAAACUUAUAUUAAUUAGUUUGUAUAUCGUUGUAGUUGAAUAUUUUAUCAGAAAUUUAAUAUUCAUGAAUAAAUAUAAUUAAAUAAAUCAAAUCAAGGUGCAGCUUAUAUAUAAGGUUGAGAUGGGUUACAAUAAAAAAUAUUUAUUAUGAAUUAAUGAUUUAAAAUUGUUAUGAAGGUGGAUUUGUAAGUAAUAAUUAUAAUUUAAUUUUUAUGAUUUUGGCUCUAUUAUAUGCACAUAUUGCCCGUCGCUUUCAAUUAAGUUGGAAUAAGUCGUAACAAAGUAGAUGUACUGGAAAGUGUUUCUGGAAACAA
rnacentral:ncRNA from 1 species